rnacentral:misc_RNA from 1 species
AGGCCUUACCUCCUCCUUACUGCUUCUUCCUCCGUGAACCGUCGAUCUACACUUGAACGGUCCUUACUUCCAUGGUCUUUGUCUGCUAUUAUAGUCCUAAAAGGGUUCUUUAGCUACGAGGCUUUUCCUAGCUGUGUUUGGCUUGGUGUUCUCACCUUGGCCACCAGUUUCUGCAAGAUGUAGGAGAAUUCCCAUAGUCGGUCGUCCUGGUGAUUAGCAGCAUUGAAUGAUAGCAGAAGUGGGUCUUCUUGUUGGGUGCCCUACCCGUUUUACGAUCAGGGUUGCUAUUUUUUUGGUUCUAUUUGAUGGGCAUAGUUGCAGGCUUAACUUCCA